UACAGAGGUCUCGAGCGUUAGGCGGAAUCACUGGGCUUAAAGCGUGUGUAGGUGGAUGCCUAAGUACCUUGUGAAAUCCCACGGCUUAACCGUGGAACUGCUUGGUAUACUGGGUGUCUUGAGUCACUCAGGGGCGAGCGGAACAAAUGGUGGAGCGGUGAAAUGCGUAGAUAUCAUUUGGAACGCCAAUGGUGAAAACAGCUCGCUGGGGGUGCACUGACACUGAGACACGAGAGCCAGGGGAGCGAACGGG
rnacentral:rRNA from 1 species